rnacentral:rRNA from 1 species
UUUGGAGGGCAAGUCUGGUGCCAGCAGCCGCGGUAAUUCCAGCUCCAAUAGCGUAUAUUAAAGUUGUUGCAGUUAAAAAGCUCGUAGUUGAAUUUCGGGAUCAAUUUAUUGGUCGUGCCUUAGUACGUACUGGUUUUAUUGGUUUCUACCUUCUGAAGAACCAUGAUGCCAUUAAUUUGGUGUCUUGGGGAAUCAGGACUGUUACUUUGAAAAAAUUAGAGUGUUUAAAGCA